rnacentral:rRNA from 1 species
GACGAACGCUGGCGGCGUGCCUAAUACAUGCAAGUCGAACGAGAGCGCCCGGUGCUUGCACUGGUCAAUCUAGUGGCGAACGGGUGAGUAACACGUGGGUAACCUGCCCAUCAGAGGGGGAUAACAUCCGGAAACGGAUGCUAAAACCGCAUAGAUCUUCGAGCCGCAUGGCUUGAAGAGGAAAAGAGGCGCAAGCUUCUGCUGAUGGAUGGACCCGCGGUGCAUUAGCUAGUUGGUGAGGUAACGGCUCACCAAGGCCGUGAUGCAUAGCCGACCUGAGAGGGUGAUCGGCCACAUUGGGACUGAGACACGGCCCAAACUCCGACGGGAGGCAGCAGUAGGGAAGCUUCCGCAAUGGACGCAAGUCUGACGGAGCAACGCCGCGUGAGUGAAGAAGGUUUUCGGAUCGUAAAACUCUGUUGUUAGAGAAGAACAAGUGCUAGAGUAACUGUUAGCGCCUUGACGGUAUCUAACCAGAAAGCCACGGCUAACUACGUG